GACUCUCACAAUAAGUGAGAUUGCUGCGUUCCUCAAACGUGAGCCUGCUAAGGUUGCCUACUUUGACUGCAUUGCCACAAUUGAUGAUGUCAAGCUUGGGGCUGAGUGGUAUUACAUUGCUUGCAAAGAUUGCCAGACCAAGCUAAACCGUGGUCCGACAACCUUGCUUUGUCCAAAAUGCCGCAAUGAAGAUGCUACUGCAUUAGCCAACUAUCGGGUGGAGCUUUCUGUCUAUGAUAAUGAGGAGCAGUGCACGUUCAUCAUCCUCGGAGAUACUGGAAAAGAGCUCACUGGCAGAAAAGCAUCAGAGUUGAUUGACGCCUAUGUUCAGGAGAACGGUGGAGAUGAGGCUGAGCUUGAAGUUCCACUGCCACAGUGUUUUAUUGACACAAUUGGCCAGACAAAGAAAUUCAGGAUCAAGGUCUCCCCCUACAAUUUCACUUCAACCCGACUUUCCUUGACUGCUACCAAGAUAAUCUCACCAGCAGUUUUACCACCAAAUAAUAC